UAACGCAUCGUCGCUGCCUAUAAAACUA
rnacentral:sRNA from 1 species